rnacentral:rRNA from 1 species
AGACGAACCGUACAAACGUUAUUCGGAAUCACUGGGCUUAAAGGGUGCGUAGGCGGCAUGGUAAGUUGGGUGUGAAAUCCCUCGGCUCAACCGAGGAAUGGCGCCCAAAACUGCUUUGCUUGAGGGAGAUAGAGGUGAGCGGAACUACGGGUGGAGCGGUGAAAUGCGUUGAUAUCCGUAGGAACACCGGUGGCGAAAGCGGCUCACUGGGUCUCUUCUGACGCUGAGGCACGAAAGCUAGGGUAGCGAACGGGAUUAGAAACCCGGGUAGUCC